ACGACCUCCCGGGCAGCGUGAGUCGGAGGAACCACAGUUCUGUCCGCAGAACCAGCCAUCUCCCUGAGGAAAAGCCACCCUUUACCACAGCCCUGUGCAUUGGUCUGUGACAGGCUGAGGAGUCCGAUGGAGAUAGCAUUGAAAAGUGACGUCCGCAAAGCCAUUGGGCGGAGGCGAAGUUGGGACCCAGAGAGAUGGGAAAUCACUUGACUAAUAGGUGAAGGGAACCGGCACCCUCUUCCAGAAACAGCUACGUCGGGCAGGGUUCUUAGGAACGGCACAACCGAGGAGCCCCUACUCUCUGCACGGUAAGGUGGUCCUAAUAUUUCCAUUUUACACCAAGGAACGUGACACUUGGAGAGGUGCCAGGUCAAAUGUCAUACCCUGAAGGAAAACUUCUUUCUUUUCCUUUUCCUUUUUUUUUUUUUUAAUAAAUAUCAUGAAGCAACAAAGUUGAGGAAAUAAAAGAAGAUGAAAAAAAAAUCUACUCCCAUUUCUACCCAAAGUCCGAAGCUUGCCAUCAAGGCUCAUCUCGAGGGCUCUGAGGACUGAAGUGGAUCUUUGAGGGCAGGGCAAGGUUCUGCAUUUGCCCUUUGCCAGGCCUACUGGCCGGAGAGGCUCCGCUCCUACAACUUUAAACUUUGAGUGCUGUUACCAUGGUGCUUAAGUGAGCCACCAAUUCAAGCCUUUUGUGGAUUCUAUAGUUAGCUUAUGAAUGAAUAGCACAAUUACAUUGCAGUGUGAUUUGUGUGUGUGUUAAAAGUGUUACUUUGGCAGCAUCUGGGUGACUCAGUCCGUUAAGCAGCCGAGUCUGAAUUUGGGAUCAAGUCAUGAUCUCGGGGUUGUGUGAUGGAGCCUCCUAUCUGCUCCACAGUGAGGGCAGAGUCUGCUUGUCCCUCUCCCUCUGUUCCACCCCCAUCACUUGCUCGCUUGCUCACUUGCUCUCAAAUAAAUAAACAAAAUCUUUUAAAAAAAUGAAUCUGUUAAUUUGGAACUUUUAAAACAUUGCUAUAUAAUUUUUUACAUUCUGCAGAAGCAAAGCUGACACCUUACCCUCCUCCAUCAAGAGGAUAGACUUCAUGGCACAGUUCAGUAAAGGGGGGAGAAACAGGACUUAGUGCUAUUACAUAAAUAAUAAGCAUCAGCUUGUUUUUUAUCACCAAAUAAAACUAAAGUAUUUCCUAAGUAAAACAACUUUAUCCCUGACUUUAACAAUACAAAUUUCUGAACCUAUGCAUUAUGUUGAUCAUCAUCAUAUAAGAAAAUGGCUGUUUCCCACCAAAAAA
rnacentral:lncRNA from 1 species